rnacentral:rRNA from 1 species
GACGAACGCUGGCGGCGUGCCUAAUACAUGCAAGUCGAGCGAAGUUUUUCUGGUGCUUGCACCGGAAAAACUUAGCGGCGAACGGGUGAGUAACACGUAAAGAACCUGCCUCAUAGACUGGGACAACUAUUGGAAACGAUAGCUAAUACCGGAUAACAGCAUUAACUGCAUGGUUGAUGUUUAAAAGUUGGUUAUGCUAACACUAUGAGAUGGCUUUGCGGUGCAUUAGCUAGUUGGCGGGGUAAAGGCCUACCAAGGCGACGAUGCAUAGCCGACCUGAGAGGGUGAUCGGCCACACUGGGACUGAGACACGGCCCAGACUCCUACGGGAGGCAGCAGUAGGGAAUCUUCCGCAAUGGGCGAAAGCCUGACGGAGCAACGCCGCGUGAGUGAAGAAGGAUUUCGGUUCGUAAAGCUCUGUUGUUAGGGAAGAAUGAUUGUGUAGUAACUAUACACAGUAGAGACGGUACCUAACCAGAAAGCCACGGCUAACUACGUGCCAGCAGCCGCGGUAAUACGUAGGUGGCAAGCGUUGUCCGGAAUUAUUGGGCGUAAAGCGCGCGCAGGUGGUUUAAUAAGUCUGAUGUGAAAGCCCACGGCUCAACCGUGGAGGGUCAUUGGAAACUGUUAAACUUGAGUGCAGGAGAGAAAAGUGGAAUUCCUAGUGUAGCGGUGAAAUGCGUAGAGAUUAGGAGGAACACCAGUGGCGAAGGCGGCUUUUUGGCCUGUAACUGACACUGAGGCGCGAAAGCGUGGGGAGCAAACAGG